rnacentral:rRNA from 1 species
AGUUCGGAUCGGAGUCUGNAACCCGACUCCGUGAAGCUGGAUUCGCUAGUAAUCGCGCAUCAGCCAUGGCGCGGUGAAUACGUUCCCGGGUCUUGUACACACCGCCCGUCACACCAUGGGAGCCGACAACGCCCGAAGUCAGUGACCUAACCGAGAGGGAGGAGCUGCCGAAGGCGGGGUUGGUAACUGGGGUGAAGUCGUAACAAGGUACC